rnacentral:tRNA from 1 species
AGAAAGAUCGCCAAGGGGUAAGGCAUAGGCCUCAUGAGCCUAUAUGCGCAAGUUCGAGUCUUGCUCUUUCUA